CAGCCGCCACGGUAAUACGUAGGGCGCAAGCGUUGUCCGGAAUUAUUGGGCGUAAAGAGCUCGUAGGCGGUUUGUCGCGUCUGCCGUGAAAGUCCGGGGCUCAACCCCGGAUCUGCGGUGGGUACGGGCAGACUAGAGUGAUGUAGGGGAGACUGGAAUUCCUGGUGUAGCGGUGAAAUGCGCAGAUAUCAGGAGGAACACCGAUGGCGAAGGCAGGUCUCUGGGCAUUAACUGACGCUGAGGAGCGAAAGCAUGGGGAGCGAACAGGAUUAGAUACCCGCGUAGUCCCUGUCUCUUAUAC
rnacentral:rRNA from 1 species